UUACAACCAAAGCUUUAACCUAAAUACUCGCCAGGCAAUGAGCGUUGCCAAGUUUGUGGCUUCGAAUCAGAUAGACCCCAUCUUUGAGCCUUCUCUCUGGGAAACCGAUUGAGAACAUACCAGACAUUCACAAUGGUUUCGAAUUAAGUGAGGUUUGCUGCAACCUACUAUGAAGUGACCUUGCACCAGCAUCCUAGGUUAUUCUCUGGGCCUCUACACAUCUCUGUUCUGAUUCUCCGUGAAAACCUCACUGACCCUCGAUACUGGAAACAUCCAUGCAGAGAGG
rnacentral:lncRNA from 1 species